ensembl:lncRNA
GCCAGAGUCAGACAGGAAUUUGAAGAUGCUACACUGGUGCUUUUGAAGAUAGAGGAAGGGACCACAAGUCAAGGAACUCAGGCAGCCUCAAGGACAGAACCGACACUCUUAACCCAUCAUAUAUUAGUCUCUAAUGCAUAAUGGGUACAUGACCCAUUGUGCUAACAUUCUUUAUCAGGAGUUAUAUUACUGAACUCAGGUUCAGCUCAUCGCUGCUCAAAAGCCAAUAAUUAAGAGGCAAGUGUCAGUAGAAAGGAAAGAUGCUUUAGUCAGAAAGGCCAGCAGUCUGGGGAGAAGGUGGACUUAUGUCUGGAGAUCAUCUCUGCAGAUUCUGUCCAGUUAUUACCAUUUUUAAAGGGAAGGUGGCGGAAGAGAAUCUCAGCGAAUCAUCCAGGUUACGAAUGAGCAAGCCAGCAGGCUUGAGAAAUUCUGAAGACGUUUCACAUAGGAUCCGUCAAUUGCUCAGAGGAAUGAUAAGCCAGGUUCAAUCGUGGGGCUGCAGAGAGUGGAGACUGGGUUUCCAUUCUGCGGUCGACAAAUGCUCCAGUGUGCAAGCUUUUCUUCAGUUCCCGCACCUGCAGAGACGUGGCCCAAGUGACCUAGUAUUUCAGAGGGAGAAGGAGAAUGUGGCAGAGAGAGAAAACUGCUCUUCAAAAGGAAGCCGUCGUUAAGCUAAGAUGCACAAAGAGCAAUUGUGAAUUUGUGUUUAGGGACCUAGAAUUCUCACCACUACCCUGAUGGAAUAUAAAGCUCCUGUAGGCGUUACUUUCCUCAUUUCUGAAAUGGGGAUAUGUGCAGUGCCUGCCUCUUCAGAUGGUAUUGCGGGAAUUCAACAUGAAAAGGCACCUGAAAGCUUUGGCAUGGCUGCUGGCAUAUACUGUUCAACGUCAUCAUCAUUACUAAAGUGGGCUCGGAAACUUCUCGUCAUGCCCUGAAGCAAACUGUCUGCUAUAUAAACC